rnacentral:rRNA from 1 species
GAUGAACGCUAGCUACAGGCUUAACACAUGCAAGUCGAGGGGUAGCAGGGUAGCAAUACCGCUGACGACCGGCGCACGGGUGAGUAACACGUAUCCAACCUUCCCAUAACUCUGGGAUAGCCUUUCGAAAGAAAGAUUAAUACCGGAUGGUACUUUUUCAAGGCAUCUUGAGAAAGUUAAAGAUUUAUUGGUUAUGGAUGGGGAUGCGUUCCAUUAGAUAGUUGGUGAGGUAACGGCUCACCAAGUCUUCGAUGGAUAGGGGUUCUGAGAGGAAGGUCCCCCACAUUGGUACUGAGACACGGACCAAACUCCUACGGGAGGCAGCAGUGAGGAAUAUUGGUCAAUGGGCGAGAGCCUGAACCAGCCAAGUAGCGUGAAGGAUGAAGGUCCUAUGGAUUGUAAACUUCUUUUAUAGUAGAAUAAAGUGACCCACGUGUGGGUUUUUGUAUGUAUACUAUGAAUAAGGAUCGGCUAACUCCGUGCCAGCAGCCGCGGUAAA